AAGCUUAUCCACAAGAUUAAUUAACGUAUAUGGAUGGAGAUCUGCUAUUUCCAAGCAUGUCACGAAGUCUGUCUUUAACCAAUUGUAAUAAAACAAAAAUUAAUAAAAUCAUGAAUAUUUAAUUUUUUUAAUUGAUAUGACAUAAUAUGAUUGGUUUAUAACAAACUUUAACACUUACUUUGUACGUGACAAUAGAUCAUUGUCCUACUAUAUACAAGGGUAAGUGCUGUUUGCACAUGAACUAUACCAGGCCUCGAUUUGAUAGUAACAACAAAUCAUCCCAGAC
rnacentral:lncRNA from 1 species